UAGUCAAAAUGAUUUUUAGACAUGCCUCUAAAAAACUGGACUAAGAUAAUCGAUUAUGUACUUAUGAUAAUCGAUUAUGUUAAGCCAAGACUGCAUGGCAAUCGAUUGUGAACUAAUGACAAUCGAUUGUGUUAAGGUAGUGAGCUUCAGGUUUUUCAAACCUGCACGACAAUCGUUUGUGAACCUUAUGACAAUCGAUUGUGAUGAGGCAGUGUACAUCAAAGUUUUUCAAAACUCAGAAUAAUCAAUUGUGAAGCAAAUGACAAUCGAUUGUGAAGAGACAGUGUCCAUCAGUUUUUUAAAAGUCCCAAAAUAAUCGAUUGUGAACUUAUGACAAUCGAUUGUGUUGAGGCAGUGACUUCC
rnacentral:lncRNA from 1 species